rnacentral:rRNA from 1 species
UACGAAGGGGGCUAGCGUUGCUCGGAAUCACUGGGCGUAAAGCGCACGUAGGCGGAUUGUUAAGUCAGGGGUGAAAUCCUGGAGCUCAACUCCAGAACUGCCUUUGAUACUGGCGAUCUCGAGUCCGGGAGAGGUGAGUGGAACUGCGAGUGUAGAGGUGAAAAUUCGUAGAUAUUCGCAAAGAACACCAGUGGCGAAGGCGCUCACUGGCC